GAUAUUCCAGUACCGGUAAUGAUUGUUUGAGCGAUGGAGUGACACAGGAGGGCAGGCAGGCAGGAGAUUGGUUGUUCCUGUACAAGCGUGUAGGAUGGGACGCAGGCAAAUCCGCGUCCUGUGAGUCUGAGGCGUGAUGUGGAGGUUCCGGAAACGGAACUGAAGCUGCUGACCCCACACUGUCGAGAAAAGCUUCUAGUUAGAGAAUUACCGCCCGUACCGUAAACCGACACAGGUAUGCGGGGAGAGAAUCCUAAGGUGCGGGAGAACCCUCGUUAAGGAACUCGGCAAAAUGUACCCGUAACUUCGGGAUAAGGGUAGCCGCUGUUGUGAAGUCUGAACAGACGGAGCAUGAGGCGGUCGCAGAGAAGAGGCCCAAGCGACUGUUUACCACAAACACAGGUGCCUGCUAAAGAGAAAUCUGACGUAUAGGUGCUGACACCUGCCCAGUGCCGGAAGGUUAAGGAAGGAUGUCCGGAGCAAUCCAAAGCAUUCGACCGAAGCCCCGGUGAACGGCGGCUGUAACAAUAACGGUCCUAAGGUAGCGAAAUUCCUUGUCGGGUAAGUUCCGACCCGCACGAAAGGUGUAACGAUUUGGGCACUGUCUCAACGAGGGACCCGGUGAAAUUGAAGUACCUGUGAAGAUGCAGGUUACCCGCGACUGGACAGAAAGACCCCAUGGAGCUUUACUGUAACCUGACAUUGGGUUCUGAUACAUCACGUACAGGAUAGGUGGGAGGCAUGGAAGCGAGGACGCUAGUCUUCGUGGAGCCGCCGUUGGGAUACCACCCUUGAUGUAUCGGAAUUCUAACCGUAGGAGUAACGAAACUCGGGACAGUGUCAGGCGGGCAGUUUGACUGGGGCGGUCGCCUCCCAAAGAGUAACGGAGGCGCCCAAAGGUUCCCUCAGCGCGGCCGGAAAUCGCGCGAAGAGUGUAAAGGCAGAAGGGAGCUUGACUGAGAGCCAAACACGGCAAUCAGGUACGAAAGUAGGGCUUAGUGAUCCGGUGGCAUCCAAGUGGAAGGGCCAUCGCUCAACGGAUAAAAGCUACCCUGGGGAUAACAGGCUAAUCUCUCCCAAGAGUCCAUAUCGACGGGGAGGUUUGGCACCUCGAUGUCGGCUCAUCACAUCCUGGGGCUGAAGUCGGUCCCAAGGGUUGGGCUGUUCGCCCAUUAAAGUGGUACGUGAGCUGGGUUCAGAACGUCGUGAGACAGUUCGGUCCCUAUCCAUCGCGGGCGCAAGAGAUUUGAAGGGGGCUGCUCCUAGUACGAGAGGACCGGAGUGGACGAACCAAUGGUGUACCAAUUAUCUCGCCAGAGGUAUAGUUGGGUAGCUACGUUCGGAAAGGAUAAACGCUGAAAGCAUCUAAGCGUGAAACCAGCCUUAAGAUGAGAUCUCUCAUAGAGCAAUCUAGUAAGACACCUUGGAGAAGACGAGGUUGAUAGGUCGGGAGUGUAAGUACAGUAAUGUAUUCAGCGGACCGAUACUAAUAUGUCGAGGGCUUGAC
rnacentral:rRNA from 1 species